rnacentral:rRNA from 1 species
AUACGUAGGGGGCAAGCGUUAUCCGGAUUUACUGGGUGUAAAGGGAGCGUAGACGGAAAGCCAAGUCUGAUGUGAAAGGUGGGGGCUCAACCCCCAAACAGCAUUGGAAACUGGUUGGCUAGAGUGUCGGAGAGGUAAGUGGAAUUCCUAGUGUAGCGGUGAAAUGCGUCGACAUUAGGAGGAACACCAGUGGCGAAGGCGGAUUUCUCGACUGCAACGGGAGCUCCGGCUCGAUAUUCUGGGGACAAGACAGGAGUAGAUGCCCGUGUACUCCACACUGUACACGAUGAAUGCCAGGUGUAGGGGGUAGACCCCCCUCCUGCGCCUCAGUCAACGCAAUUACGGAUCCGCCUGGGGACUUCCGUGUCACGGUUGCGACUGACACGAAUUGACGGGC